UUUGACACAAACCUGUGCGUACUCAUGAAGGGCAGAGUGAACUGUCCUAAGAAGUCAUUGGCUGAUGUGUAAUCAUGGUCCUCCACCAUGAACCGAACCAAGGCCAAGUCUGGAGCGUGAACCGUGAAGUUAAAGUGUGGCAGGUUUGACCUGACAGAAGAAGACCUGAGGGGAGGGGGAACAGGUUUCACAUCGGCCAUUGACCGGUAGAAAAAAAUCUAAUACACUUGCAGACAGUAACUUGUAAAAACGAGGAUUAUUGAGCUAAUUCGUGAGAUCUUACCCGGAUGGUGAGAAGGAAAGGUUUGUGGCCCGGACCUCCCCCAACAUUUUCAGGGUUAAAGGUCGUGUCAGGGCAGCACAUGAAGGGGGGCUUCAGGACAUAUCCACACUGACCAUUUUGGAGAAACCUGCCCCGGUUCAAGUCCAUCUGCUCACCUGGAGUCUGGAAGUUUAGAGCCACUACAAAAUACACACAAUCGUUUCAUACACCAAGAUGUGUACCUAGGCUUAUCACUGUGAUGUUAUAUUAAAUGAAAGAAAAACAA